rnacentral:rRNA from 1 species
GGGUCAGUAGGUUGGUCGUGCCACCGGUACGUAGUGGUCUCACUUAUUCCUCCUUCCUGAAGAACCGUAAUGCCAUUAAUUUGGUGUUGCGGGGAAACAGGACUGUUACUUUGAAAAAAUUAGAGUGUUUAAAGCAAGCUGACGCUUGAAUACAUUAGCAUGGAAUAAUGAAAUAGGACGAUCGAUCCUAUUUUGUUGGUUUCUAGGAUUGACGUA